GUCGGACAGUCUGUCGCCGUUGCCGUAAGGCAAAGGAGGAAAGUCCGGGCAGCGCAGAGCACUCCACUUCCUAACAGAAAGUCAUCUGCGAAGGUGAAGUAACGCAGAAGAAAAUAACCGCCCGCAAGGGUAAGGGUGAGAAGGUGGGGUAAGAGCCCACCGGCCGUGCAGCGAUGUACGGGCCGUGCGUCUUGGAGGCUGCAAGUUCAUGUAAACCGGCGUUUGAGGGUAGCUCGUCCAAGCCGGAGGGUAGAACGCUUUAGCCAUAUGGCGACAUAUGGCAUAGAUGAAUGACAGACACCCCGUAAGGGGCACAGAACCCGGCUUACAGGCCGACUG
rnacentral:RNase_P_RNA from 1 species